GUGGGGAAUAUUGGACAAUGGGCGAAAGCCUGAUCCAGCAACGCCGCGUGAGGGAUGACGGCCUUCGGGUUGUAAACCUCUUUCAGUAGGGACGAAGCGCAAGUGACGGUACCUACAGAAGAAGCACCGGCCAACUACGUGCCAGCAGCCGCGGUAAUACGUAGGGUGCGAGCGUUGUCCGGAAUUAUUGGGCGUAAAGGGCUCGUAGGCGGUUUGUCACGUCGGGAGUGAAAUCUCAGGGCUUAACCCUGAGCCUGCUUCCGAUACGGGCAGACUAGAGGUAUGCAGGGGAGAACGGAAUUCCUGGUGUAGCGGUGAAAUGCGCAGAUAUCAGGAGGAACACCGGUGGCGAAGGCGGUUCUCUGGGCAUUACCUGACGCUGAGGAGCGAAAGUGUGGGGAGCGAACAGGAUUAGAUACCCGAGUAGUCC
rnacentral:rRNA from 1 species